rnacentral:rRNA from 1 species
CCUACGGGCGGCUGCAGUGGGGAAUAUUGCACAAUGGGGGAAACCCUGAUGCAGCGACGCCGCGUGAGUGAAGAAGUAAUUCGUUAUGUAAAGCUCUAUCAGCAGGGAAGAAAAUGACGGUACCUGAGUAAGAAGCCCCGGCUAACUACGUGCCAGCAGCCGCGGUAAUACGUAGGGGGCAAGCGUUAUCCGGAUUUACUGGGUGGAAAGGGAGCGUAGACGGCAGUGCAAGUCUGGAGUGAAAGGCGGGGGCUCAACCCCCGGACUGCUCUGGAAACUGUACGGCUGGAGUGCAGGAGAGGUAAGUGGAAUUCCUAGUGUAGCGGUGAAAUGCGUAGAUAUUAGGAGGAACACCAGUGGCGAAGGCGGCUUACUGGACUGUGACUGACGUUGAGGCUCGAAAGCGUGGGGAGCAAACAGGAUUAGAUACCCGAGUAGUC